rnacentral:tRNA from 1 species
GUGUGGUGGAUCGGCUCGCUCACCGUCGCGGUCACCGACGGGCUCCGCGGAGACGUGGCGGCGUUCGACUCCGCGAUCGCGCC